rnacentral:misc_RNA from 1 species
AACGCACCUUGCACCCUUUGGUAUUCCGAAGGGUACACCCGUUUGAGUGUCAUUGUACUCUCACUCCCUUUGAUUCUUAUCAAAGGGUAGUGGAUCUGGACGUUGCUGUAGUACUAUAGCUCGUCUGAAAUGCAUGAGUGUAACUAAGGGUUUCUCCAAUGUGAUAUGCAUCUUCAUUGGUUACUCUUUCCAAGUUGCACUUCUAAUCGUCCUUUGGACAACUUUGACAAUUUGGCCUCAAAUCGGGUGGGACUACCCGCUGAACUUAA